rnacentral:rRNA from 1 species
CAAUAGCGUAUAUUAAAGUUGUUGCAGUUAAAAAGCUCGUAGUUGGAUUUCUGAUCGAGACAUCAGGUCGGGUCCGAGAGGAUCAUGUACUUUGAUUUUGUUUUGAUCAUCCUUGGGGAGAGCAUUUCUGGCAUUCAGUUGUCGGGAUUGGGAUCCUCAUCGUUUACUGUGAAAAAAUUAGAGUGUUCAAAGCAGGCCUCGGCCUCUGAAUACAUUAGCAUGGAAUAAUAAGAUAGGACUUUGGUGGUCUAUUUUGUUGGUUUGCACGCCAAAGUAAUGAUUAAUAGGGAUAGUUGGGGGUAUUCGUGUUCAAUUGUCAGAGGUGAAAUUCUUGGAUUUAUGGAAGACGAACUACUGCGAAAGCAUUUACCAAGGAUGUUUUCAUUAA